AUGGUGGAAAUUUGGGGUGAAAAGCUGAGAUUUGGGGGACGGUUCUGGGGAAACGCUCCCAGGGGAAAAGAGUCCCCGAGUCAGGAUUUGGGUCAGUUUGGAGCUUUUCCCGUCCCCAUCUGCCCCUGUCCCCGCAGGGCUGCGGCGGCCGUGACCCUGCUGGAGUCCGGGGGCACCUCCAGCCCCCCGGGGGGUCCCUGCGCCUCCUCUGCCGCGCCUCCGGCUUCGAUUUUGGGAAUUUUGGGAUGGGCUGGAUCCGCCAGAGACCCGGGCAGGGGCUGGAAUACGUUGCGUACAUCAACAGCGGUGGUUGGACCAACUACGCGCCGUCGGUCAAGGGCUGGUUCACGAUCUCCCGGGACAACGGGCAGAGCUCGGUGACGUUGGCCAUGAACAGCCUCAAGGACGACGAUUCCGCUGUUUAUUUCUGCGCCAAAUAUGCCGCUGCUGGUGCUGGUUGGGCUGCUAAUGAGGAUAUCGAUAAUUAACGUCUUUGGGGUGGU